CGAGCUGGCAGCUUCCUGUUUCACCGUCAUCUGAACCUUGGCAUAAGCGUUACCUGUUCCCCUUCCAAUGCAAGUACCUCCAUACUGAACUCCUCAUCAUCCCUCAACUCUCCCUGGUGGUUAGAUUACUCCAACAUAUUGGCGAUUUACCAGUUCCUGCACAUUUCCCAUUUGCCUUUGUUUGAGAAAAUAAAUCUUAUUCAUAAUCCUGUAACUACUUCUGAGUGUUUCAUCUGCAUGUGGGUCAGAACUAUCUCGAGCAUAAUGACAGGAGGCUGCAAUUCUGGUUUUCUCAUCUUUCUAUGAACACACUCCUAAACCUUGAGGAAGAUGUUUACAUAAGUUGAUAUCAUCAGUAGAUACAAAUAUUCUUUCAAAAGACUAAUCAAUUCAUGUGAAAUAAUUUCACCUUACAGUUAAAAUGUGAAAUGCCCAGGUUACUGAUUGUGCUCCUGUUUUCCUGAGAUUAAAGGCUGUAAACACAAGCCCUGUCAAAUUAGGGUGCAAUUUAUACACCUCUUGCAUGAAGGCAGCGGUAAUAACAUAAACCAAUCUCAGUGGAAAGCACUUAUGAAGAAAGAAGUUCCAUGAACUUGUAUUUGUCAGGGUUCACCGUGAAAUGUAAAAGUGGAGCUGAAAUACCAGAAUUUGUCAGUUUUUAACAAAAUAUGUUCAGUUGUUAUUACAUUACAAUUUCUUCAUGCAGGCAUUGAAACCUACUUUUUACUGUUUAUGUUUCAUAUAUUGAAUGAAAUGUCAACAACGGGACCACUGCGUAAAAAUUUAUGAAGUUAGAGGCAGAGGAGUAGGAGGAGGUGAGUAGACACUUUAGACAGAUCAACCAAAACAAAUAUUAUAUAUUGCAGAGUUCAGGUUUAUUAAAUAAAAUGUGAAAACCCUAUAGGAGGGGAGGGGGGAGAUUUCUCAGUUUAUUUCAGUUGCAGCACAAGAUUGAUUUUUUUUUUAAAUGACAAAAACAAACUGAAAAAAUUAAAUUUAUUCAAAUCAUUGGAACGAUUUCAGUGAGGUUUGUUAAAGCGCAAACUCUGAAUCCCUCAA